GAUGAAGAACGCAGCGAAAUGCGAUAAGUAGUGUGAAUUGCAGAAUUCAGUGAAUCAUCGAAUCUUUGAACGCACAUUGCGCCCCAUGGCAUUCCGUGGGGCAUACCUGUUCGAGCGUCAUUGCUGCCCUCAAGCACGGCUUGUGUGUUGGGCCUCCGUCCUCCUCCCGGGGGACGGGCCCGAAAGGCAGCGGCGGCACCGCGUCCGGUCCUCGAGCGUAUGGGGCUUCGUCACCCGCUCUUGUAGGCCCGGCCGGCGCUUGCCGACACAUCAAUCUUUUUUCCAGGUUGACCUCGGAUCAGGUAGGGAUACCCGCUGAACUUAAGCAUAUCAAUAAGCGGAGGA
rnacentral:misc_RNA from 1 species